CUACGGUAGCUGUCGUUUUCAAUAUGUUCAAUAUGCUGCACUUAGCGCAUGAAAUGUCAAGGCGAAAGAAAUCGAUGGUUUGACGCCCACGUCGCACCGCCCAGCAAUUGACGCACAUCGCGGCGAAUUCCACAGUGGCAUAGCGAAUUCUAGAUAUGUGUGGCGAAUUUCACAUUUGUUUUUCUCAAUUUUAACAGCGACCCUCGUUCAGUUCACUCUCCCUCCCCCUCUCUCGCUCACACGCGCCUGGUUGGCGUGCCUCUCUGAUAAGAUUGUUGUCGAAAAAAUAACAGGCACACACACACAGUCGCAUUAACAGUCAUAUAACUAUGUGCGCAUGUAUGCAUAUGUGUGCACAUCUAUUUGGACAUUUAUGCAUACAUAUGUAUGUCUGGCUGUCUAGCUGUAGGUGUUGCUGCUGCUGCUGCUGCUCGUCGAACCACUUUUGGCAAAUGCGACAAGUUGAGCAUGGGCAUGGGCAGGGGGCAGAGCGGGGGCCACGCAAAACCAGCCAAUGGGUCUCAUGAUUUUUAUAUUUUCAAUGCGUAUUGUUGUUGUUUGUUGUUUUGCUGGUGUUUGGUGUUUGUUGUUGUGAUAAUAAAAUCGCGUCAAUUCUAAAAACUUGUUUACGCGAAAAACCAAAAACAAAAAA